rnacentral:lncRNA from 1 species
GUCUUUCAUCCAGGUUGUAAUUGCAGUGGAAGGGGAGACCAAACAUUCAAAGAUUGCUGAAGAGCCAACGAACUCUGAUUCUGUCAAGAUGAUGUCUUUGAUUUCUUUCACAAACUUCAGUGGCACAGCCUUUAGCUGGUUAGGAAAAUGCAAGAAGACAUAUGUAGAUGAGACAAAGAUAGACCAUGUCUAUACAUGUAUGAAAUGGAUGGGAGACAAAGGAAGCAACACUCAUGAGCCAGGACCAUAAAAGCCACAGAAAUAUAAGAAAUGAAUGGGACUACUCUCUGAUCAUUGAAAAAGAGAGACAGAACAUUCGAUGGAGGCAGAAAGAGCAAGGAGUCAGGAGCAGGCAUGGCAUGACAAGCAACCCAGGAACCAUGGGGCAGCAGAAGAGACAGCUCUAUGCAAUCUCACAGUACAAUCAUGUCUGAAAGUACACACUUCUAAAAGUCAUACAUUUCUUGCAAGCAUCAUUUCAGAUGGCUGGAUAGAAGUUUGAAGCAGGCUAAUAAAACUUUGGAAGUGGCAUUUUUUACCUUUACACACAAAGACAAGUAGACACAGCAGUAAUAUAAGUUGUAUUAACAAAUACGGAAACAGGACAUUUUGACUUUUAUAGGAGAAGGAAGGAAAUGGCAUAGUCUAAUUUACUUCGGAAUAGCAAUACCUUUGGCAGGGGGAGCCUCCUCUUUCUUGGGAAUGACCACUUUCUUCUCUGUCACUUUCUUCUUAAUUUCAGGCACUUUAAAGACAUCAUUUCAUGAUAAGGAUUUAUUUUGAAGGACAAAAAAAGAGAAACCAAGAAGACCCCACACCCAGAAAGACCAAUGUGUUAACAGUCGCUCAAGACAGGUUUAGGUGGUCAAUCACAGAGGGUAAAGGAUUAUAGAUAAAACUGGAGAUGAACAAAAGGAUGGGAAAGCAGAAUUCAACACAAAAGAGGCCUUGAUGAUUCCAAGAAGAGCUGCUAUACCUGGUGCAGGUACUGGCACCUUAGGUUUAACUUCUGGAAGGACUUCUUCUUCAGGUACAAAUUCUUCUUCCUCAGGUACAUAUUCUUCUUCGGGAGGAACUUCCUCUUCCUCAGGUGGAAUUUCCUCUUCUUCAGGUAGAACUUCCUCUUCUUCAGGUAGAACUUCCUCUUCCUCAGGUAGAACUUCCUCUUCCUCAGGUAGAACUUCCUCUUCAGGAACAAUUUCUUCUUCAAAUAGAACUUCCUCUUCCUGAGGUAGAGCUACAGGAACUGGAACUGGUUCACGUUUCUUUGGCACUGGUAUUGCCUCUGAAUUUGCUGAUUCAGAAGAUGUCGGACUCAUGUUAUCCUAUAGAAGAUGUAACAACCCAUAUACAUUUAUGAAAAUCAGGAACUACAUUAUUAUAAUGAUGAAGGAAAAGCCCAAGAAAUCAACCAACCUGAAACCUGCAAUGAAGCUGUGCAGCUGUCUUUGCCAACAGGGUUCUGCACCUCAAAACUGUAUACCCCACUGUCACUCGGUGCUACAUUGAUGAUCUUAAGGCCGGAUACUUUGUUGAAGAAGCUUAUUUUGUAUUUGUUGUCACUUGUUAGCUCUUUUCCAUCCUUAAACCACUUAGUACUGAGUUCAGGGGUGCCAGCUACUGUACACUCCAAGGUACAGGUGUCUCCCGUGGUAACUUUUAUGGAUUCUGGCUUUUCUACAAUUGUUGCAGGCUCUGGAAUGAAAUGUAAAAGAUAUCCAUAUUUUAAACUCAAAUUGAAAAACUAAAGAAAAUACAG